AUUGAACGCUGGCGGAAUGCUUUACACAUGCAAGUCGAACGGCAGCACGGGGCAACCUGGUGGCGAGUGGCGAACGGGUGAGUAAUACAUCGGAACGUGCCCAAUCGUGGGGGAUAACGUAGCGAAAGUUACGCUAAUACCGCAUACGAUCUACGGAUGAAAGCGGGGGAUCGCAAGACCUCGCGCGAAUGGAGCGGCCGAUGUCAGAUUAGGUAGUUGGUGGGGUAAAGGCUCACCAAGCCAACGAUCUGUAGCUGGUCUGAGAGGACGACCAGCCACACUGGAACUGAGACACGGUCCAGACUCCUACGGGAGGCAGCAGUGGGGAAUUUUGGACAAUAGGCGCAAGCCUGAUCCAGCCAUUCCGCGUGCAGGAUGAAGGCCUUC
rnacentral:rRNA from 1 species